AUGUCCCCCUCUUUCUUGGUAUCUCAAGUCAUGCAUAAUGGUUUACUCACUACUCCACGGAACCGCCUAACCAACGUUGCUUGUGUCGACCUUGUUUCCAUUUUGUCCUUGUUACAGGAUGUUACCGCCACCGACGCGCCCGACGACAGGUACCUCACCCAUGGCUCCUUGUUCUCCUCGAAGUGCGCCCACUCGCUGCUAUCCUUCGAUGAUGAGAUUGAUCUCAAUGCCGGGUACACCCGAAGUUCCAAGGCACCUAUCAAGGCUAAGAUCUUCCGUUGGCUUCUGUGUCGUGACAGAUUGACCAUGAAGCCGAACUUACAUCGCAAGAACAUCUCCUUUGACUCUUCUUUCCCUUGGUGUGACUUCACAUUGGAGAAUGUGACGGACCUCACCAUCCUUGGCCCAUGCGUGUCUUAG
rnacentral:rRNA from 1 species